rnacentral:rRNA from 1 species
AUUGAACGCUGGCGGAAUGCUUUACACAUGCAAGUCGAACGGCAGCACGGGGGCAGCCCUGGUGGCGAGUGGCGAACGGGUGAGUAAUACAUCGGAACGUGCCCGGUCGUGGGGGAUAACGUAGCGAAAGUUACGCUAAUACCGCAUACGAUCUGAGGAUGAAAGCGGGGGACCUUCGGGCCUCGCGCGAUCGGAGCGGCCGAUGUCAGAUUAGGUAGUUGGUGGGGUAAAGGCCUACCAAGCCGACGAUCUGUAGCUGGUCUGAGAGGACGACCAGCCACACUGGGACUGAGACACGGCCCAGACUCCUACGGGAGGCAGCAGUGGGGAAUUUUGGACAAUGGGCGCAAGCCUGAUCCAGCCAUUCCGCGUGCAGGACGAAGGCCUUCGGGUUUUAAACUGCUUUUGUACGGAACGAAAAGGCUCUGGCUAAUACCUGGGGCUCAUGACGGUACCGUAAGAAUAAGCACCGGCUAACUACGUG